UCAAUACCUAAUAUUCUGUGACGACAAUAACUGCACUGUGGACAGUUGCAUAGAGGUUUUGUGAUACAGAAGUCGUUUCAAAGAGCAAUAAAUUUAAAUAUUUGAACACUCAAUCACAUAGUGUCAUAUCUACAUUUCUAAAGAUUUACUCAAGUCUUCAUUAUGAAAGUGAUUGACGACAAAUCAUGUUUUGGCGUUUAUGACCCUUGGAAAGAUGAUUGCGGACCUGGCUGCGAUUGUCAUGAUGUCCGCAUUGAUAGUACAACUUGCAUGAAGUGAAGAACAACUGUAGAUAUUAAUUAUACUUUGUUAGUAAAAUCAUCUUAGUUUAGUUAAUUUAUUUUUGUUGUUAUGCGAACUAUUCAGGGAAACAAUAAAAAACUUUAGUGAUGUGAUGAUUAAUUUUAUUUCACACAGUGAAUGUGUUACACCAAAAAAAAGGAACAGCAUAAAAUGCAUUGUUGAUUUACAGUAAUAAAUUACACGAUCAAUUGGAAACCAAAAGCUUGAAACAAUAGCUAUUACACUUUAGAUAACGGGCUAUGUUGUCAUUAUUAAAAAUAAACAGCAACAGUAUCAGUAGGUAAACGAUAACAACUGAAGAUGUAUGUUUUUUAUAACGUUUCAUGGACAUGAUCAUUUUUAAGAUUUCACAAAUAUGGCUUUGGCUCAUGUUAUGAAAUGACUUAUUAUAUUCUACAUAUAGAUACGAUGAUAAACAAAUACUUAAAUCACAUUAAUUGAGACACAGCCACUUCAUCUUCAGUUCAUUUAGUCUUCACAGCUUGCUCUUGAGCACGAAGAUUCUUUCAUUCAUUUAACAGUCAAAUGAAGGAUUUGGCCUACUUUCUCAGAUAUCUUGGGGAGGAUUACUUACAGUAUUUAAAUGAACAGAAAUAGACGCCGAAAACAUCCAAAAAAAGCCCUUUUUACACACAUUUUACAUCACGUAUGUACGAAUUUGGAGGAGCUGUGUCUCUUUUGUUGUCCUAAACACUAAAUACAUAACUAUCAUACAGUUGUAUUUGAGCCAUUAUCCCCUACUUUUUGGGGGCUGCGCAGGAGUCGCCG